CCUUGAUAUGUAGGGAAUCAGUGGCAAAUUAAGAAUCAAAAGAACCAGGUUGCCGAAAUACAUCGAAAUGAUGACUGACCAAAAUACAUCUGGGUUAUCAACAAACAAACGAGGUC
rnacentral:ncRNA from 1 species